rnacentral:lncRNA from 1 species
ACCCUUAAACAAGAUUUACUUUCACAUCGAUAUGGGCAUUCCCUGGAUUUGCUCAUGGCACUUCCAACUAGCCCUACAUCUUCAAGAUAUGCCCUACUCUCUUGUCAGAGAAUUUAGGGUAAAAUGGUGGGAAAAAUAUAAUCAAGACCGAUGUAGCUAUUCAAACAUCCAAAAGUACUUUGACACCAUCAAGCAAGCAAAACAAGUUGUCCAAUCGGUUUCAAAAACAGUUCCCCUACUCUUACCAAGUCAAAUACAGCAAACUUCUCAGAAGAAAUCAAGUCAUGCUACUUCAACUACAUCUUCUUCAAGCCAAACAAGAUCUAAGCAAUCAAAAAAAGAAAAACUGGUACAACUCAUCGAUCAAUUGAUGGCCUCAAGCUCCGAAGAAGAAGACAUUAACAACGAUACCAACGACCCGUUCGGCGGACCUCUUGCACAAGACCCUUUCGAAGAAUCGUUCGGCGGACCUCUAGCACAAGACCCUUUCGAAGA